UUGAACGCUGGCGGCAUGCCUAACACAUGCAAGUCGAACGGCAGCACAGUAGAGCUUGCUCUAUGGGUGGCGAGUGGCGGACGGGUGAGUAAUGCAUCGGGAUCUACCCAAACGUGGGGGAUAACGUAGGGAAACUUACGCUAAUACCGCAUACGUCCUAUGGGAGAAAGCGGGGGAUCGCAAGACCUCGCGCGGUUGGACGAACCGAUGUGCGAUUAGCUAGUUGGUAGGGUAAUGGCCUACCAAGGCGACGAUCGCUAGCUGGUCUGAGAGGAUGAUCAGCCACACUGGAACUGAGACACGGUCCAGACUCCUACGGGAGGCAGCAGUGGGGAAUAUUGGACAAUGGGCGCAAGCCUGAUCCAGCAAUGCCGCGUGUGUGAAGAAGGCCUUCGGGUUGUAAAGCACUUUUAUCAGGAGCGAAAUGCCAUUGGUUAAUACCCGGUGGAGCUGACGGUACCUGAGGAAUAAGCACCGGCUAACUUCGUGCCAGCAGCCGCGGUAAUACGAAGGGUGCAAGCGUUAAUCGGAAUUACUGGGCGUAAAGCGUGCGUAGGCGGUGACUUAAGUCUGCUGUGAAAUCCCCGGGCUCAACCUGGGAAUGGCAGUGGAUACUGGGUCGCUAGAGUGUGAUAGAGGAUGGUGGAAUUCCCGGUGUAGCGGUGAAAUGCGUAGAGAUCGGGAGGAACAUCAGUGGCGAAGGCGGCCAUCUGGAUCAACACUGACGCUGAGGCACGAAAGCGUGGGGAGCAAACAGGAUUAGAUACCCUGGUAGUCCACGCCCUAAACGAUGCGAACUGGAUGUUGGUCUCAACUCGGAGAUCAGUGUCGAAGCUAACGCGUUAAGUUCGCCGCCUGGGGAGUACGGUCGCAAGACUGAGACUCAAAGGAAUUGACGGGGGCCCGCACAAGCGGUGGAGUAUGUGGUUUAAUUCGAUGGCAACGCGAAGAACCUUACCUGGCCUUGACAUGUCUGGAAUCCUGCAGAGAUGCGGGAGUGCCUUCGGGAAUCAGAACACAGGUGCUGCAUGGCUGUCGUCAGCUCGUGUCGUGAGAUGUUGGGUUAAGUCCCGCAACGAGCGCAACCCUUGUCCUUAGUUGCCAGCACGUAAUGGUGGGAACUCUAAGGAGACUGCCGGUGACAAACCGGAGGAAGGUGGGGAUGACGUCAAGUCAUCACGGCCCUUACGGCCAGGGCUACACACGUACUACAAUGGUCGGUACAGAGGGUUGCAAUACCGCGAGGUGGAGCCAAUCCCAGAAAGCCGAUCCCAGUCCGGAUCGAAGUCUGCAACUCGACUUCGUGAAGUCGGAAUCGCUAGUAAUCGCAGAUCAGCUAUGCUGCGGUGAAUACGUUCCCGGGCCUUGUACACACCGCCCGUCACACCAUGGAAGUGAGUUGCUCCAGAAGCCGUUAGUCUGACCGCAAGGGGGACGACGACCACGGAGUGGUUCAUGACUGGGGUG
rnacentral:rRNA from 1 species